AUAAACCGGACUCACCCCGAAAGAGAUUGCCAGCCAGCUUGAGUUC
rnacentral:sRNA from 1 species